rnacentral:rRNA from 1 species
CUGCCCAAGGACUAUGUGUUUAACGGCUGCGGUAUUUUAACCGUGCGAAGGUAGCGUGAUCACUCGUCUUUUAAAUAGAGACCCGUAUGAAUGGUAAAACGAGGGCUUAGCUGUCUCCUUUUUCAUGUCAGUGAAAUUGAUCUUCCCGUGCAAAAGCGGGAAUUAUCCUAUAAGACGAGAAGACCCUGUGAAGCUUUAGAUGCAAAAUAGAUCUAGUUUAUAACCCCUAAUCAAGGAUCAAGCUUUUAGAUUCUAUUUUAGUGUCUUCGGUUGGGGCGACCGCGGGGGGUUGCGUAACCCCCGUGUGGACUGGGAGUAAUAUUGUUUUACCCCUAAAGCUAAGAACCUCCGUUCUAAUAAACAGAAUUUCUGACUUCAUAAGAUCCGGCAGUGCCGAUCAACGAACCAAGUUACUCCAGGGAUAACAGCGCCAUCCUCUUUCAGAGCCCUUAUCGACAAGGGGGUUUACGACCUCGAUGUUGGAUCAGGACAUCCUAAUGGUGUAGCCGCUAUUAAGGGUUCGUUUGUUCAACGAUUAAUAGUCCUA